UACAGAGGGUGCAAGCGUUAUUCGGAAUUACUGGGCGUAAAGCGUGUGUAGGCGGUUUUGUAAGUCAGGCGUGAAAGCCCCGGGCUCAACCUGGGAAUGGCAUUUGAGACUGCAUAGCUAGGGUGCGGAAGAGGGAAGCGGAAUUUCCGGUGUAGCGGUGAAAUGCGUAGAUAUCGGAAGGAACAUCAGUGGCGAAAGCGGCUUCCUGGUCCAGCACCGACGUUCAGGCACGAAAGCGUGGGGAGCAAACAGG
rnacentral:rRNA from 1 species